rnacentral:tRNA from 1 species
GCCGCUGUAGCACAAUUUGGUAGUGCAAUCGAUUUGUAAUCGAUAGGUUGGGGGUUCAAGUCCCUCCAGCGGCA